rnacentral:rRNA from 1 species
GAUGAGCGCUGGCGGCGUGCCUAAUACAUGCAAGUCGAGCGAACGGACGAGAAGCUUGCUUCUCUGAUGUUAGCGGCGGACGGGUGAGUAACACGUGGAUAACCUACCUAUAAGACUGGGAUAACUUCGGGAAACCGUAGCUAAUACCGGAUAAUAUUUUGAACCGCAUGGUUCAAAAGUGAAAGACGGUCUUGCUGUCACUUAUAGAUGGAUCCGCGCUGCAUUAGCUAGUUGGUAAGGUGACGGCUUACCAAGGCAACGAUGCAUAGCCGACCUGAGAGGGUGAUCGGCCACACUGGAACUGAGACACGGUCCAGACUCCUACGGGAGGCAGCAGUAGGGAAUCUUCCGCAAUGGGCGAAAGCCUGACGGAGCAACGCCGCGUGAGUGAUGAAGGUCUUCGGAUCGUAAAACUCUGUUAUUAGGGAAGAACAUAUGUGUAAGUAACUGUGCACAUCUUGACGGUACCUAAUCAGAAAGCCACGGCUAACUACGUG